ACCUAUGUGGUAUAGUGGUUUGAGUAUUGGACUACAAACCUAGAGACUAGGGUUCAAUUCCCCACUCAGCCA